UAAGAGUCCUGGACUGAAGACAUUUACAUGCCGAUAUUCAGUUAUAAUCAUAGUGCCACCAGUUGGCAGCAGGAAAUGUGGCACAAAUAUUUACCUUUUUAUAAGCAUAUGGCCCAACGUUCGCUGUUCUCCUAUGGCCACCGGUUGGUGGUGAGCCCGGGUGCGAGGGCCCUUUCAUCGCUGCUUGCAGCUUUAAUUAGGGCCCGAGCACCGAUGGUGUGAGGACCCUAUUGUAUCUGCUUUGUUUAUUCUUCUUCUUCUUCUUCUUCUUCUUCUUCUUCUUCUCCAAAAUGAAUCGCAUUUUUGAGGGCCUAAACAUGCUCGAAAAGUCCUGAAACUUUGCACACGCGUCAGACCUGGUGAAAAUUUACGUCUGAUAUAGGUUUCAGAAGAGGGUGUGGCAAAAUGGCUCGACAGCGCCACCUAUCCUAAAAGAAUCAACAGCCCUCCCGCUGUGUUUCACGUACAUGCACGAAAAUUGACACACAUAUGUAAAGCAUCAGUACCUACAAAAAAGACUCUUGGAGCAAUAUCCGAAACCCAACAGGAGGUCGGUUAUUUUUAAUUUUAUGAGCAAAUUUUUGCAUCAUUUUUGUCAUUUGCAUGCCUUGUAUUUUAACGAACUCCUCCUAGAGAUUUAUUCAGAUCAACACCAAAUUUGCUCGAGGCGCACUCCGUUGAAAAUGUAUAGGUGGCGCUAUCGAGGCAUUUUGCCACACCCAAUGGAAUAUUGGCCUUCAGAUGUGUUCAGGCCAGGACUCUUAUCAAACAUGUGAAGUUUGGGCAAGAUCGGACAUUUUAUGCCUGAGUUAGAAUAACUUUUAUUCCCAUGGCGAGACAUCGAACUUUGUGACGGCGCCAUGGACACGCCCUUUAACGAAAACUCAAGAUCUUCACAAUUUAACAUCGCACAGGCCUUUAGAAUAGAGUGACUGAAAAAAAAAGAAUUAUGUCAUAAAAUUUCUCGGGGUAGUUCGUUACAGCGUAAAAUAUGUCACUUCCUGUAGCCAGUAGGUGGCGCUAUGACUAUAACUGAAUAUGGGCAUAUCAAUCUGUUCAGGUCAGGAGUCUUAUCAAACAUGUGAAGUUUGUGGCAGAUUGGACAUUGUAUGUCUGAGUUAUAGCAACUUCAUUUUUCAUGGCGAAUCAUCGAAAUUCGUCAGGCCGCCACGGACACGCCCUUCAACGAAAACUCAAGAUCUUCGCAAUUUAACAUCGCAAAGGCCUUUAGAUUAGGCAUACCAAACUUGGUGUUGAUCUGAAUAAAUCUCUAGGAGGAGUUCGUUAAAAUACAAG
ensembl:lncRNA